AGUAGGCGGAAGAUCAAUAUUUUUGGUGACAGGCAAGUCUGGAUUGUAUUUGCUUCCAAUUGGAUUUGCACUAGCUAAAAUAGAAGUCCUAGCGUUCAAAGUAGUAAUAAUGCCAGCCUUGGCAACUGUAACGGUUUGCUGCUCCAUAACUUCAUGAAGAAUAGAACGUGUAGCAUCGGACAUUUUGUCAAACUCAUCAAUGCAGCAAAUGCCCCCAUCUGACAGUACCAAAGCACCACUUUCCAAGACUAGUUGCUUCGUGUCUUGGUCACGAGUAAUAUAGGCAGUUAAACCAACAGCAGAUGAACCCUUGCCACUAGUGUAAACACCUCUGGGUGCUAUCUUAUGGACAUACUUCAAAAUUUGAGACUUAGACGUAGAUGGAUCACCACACAUCAAGAUAUUUAUGUCUCCACGAUAUCUCGGACUUGCGCCUUUAUGAAAAGACUUGUUCGUUCCACCAAAUAGCUGUAGCAAAAGCCCCUUUUUAACAUCAUCCAUUUCGUAAAUGCUAGGUGCCAGAGACCGGGAAAGAAUAUCGUAUAUAUCGUCCCGCUUUGAAACUUGUUGAAUUUUUUCCACUUCUUCGUCUGAUAUUUUCCGUACUUCAUCAAUUUGUAAAGCAGCAUCUUCAGCAAUAUCGCUUUCCAACGUAGAAGGAUCCGUACCCAAACGACG